UACGAAGGGAGCUAGCGUUGUUCGGAAUCACUGGGCGUAAAGCGCACGUAGGCGGGUUUGUCAAUCAGGGGUGAAAUCCCGGAGCUCAACUCCGGAACUGCCCUUGAUACAGCAAGCCUUGAGUCCGGAAGAGGUAGGUGGAAUUCCUAGUGUAGAGGUGAAAUUCGUAGAUAUUAGGAAGAACAUCAGUGGCGAAGGCGGCCUACUGGUCCGGCACUGACGCUGAGGUGCGAAAGCGUGGGGAGCAAACAGG
rnacentral:rRNA from 1 species